UACGAAGGGGGCUAGCGUUGUUCGGAUUUACUGGGCGUAAAGCGCACGUAGGCGGAUCGUUAAGUCGGGGGUGAAACCCGUGGAGCUCAACUCCAGAACUGCCUUCGAUACUGGCGAUCUUGAGUCCGGAAGAGGUGAGUGGAACUCCUAGUGUAGAGGUGGAAUUCGUAGAUAUUAGGAAGAACACCAGUGGCGAAGGCGGCUCACUGGUCCGGUACUGACGCUGAGGUGCGGAAAAGCGUGGGG
rnacentral:rRNA from 1 species